rnacentral:rRNA from 1 species
AUUGAACGCUGGCGGCGUGCCUAACACAUGCAAGUCGCACGCGAAAGGGAGCAAUCCCGAGUAGAGUGGCGGACGGGUGAGUAACGCGUAGGAAUCUACCUAGUAGUGGGGGACAACCCGGCGAAAGCCGGGCUAAUACCGCAUACGACCUAAGGGUGAAAGCCGGGGAUCGCAAGACCUGGCGCUAUUAGAUGAGCCUGCGUCCGAUUAGCUAGUUGGUGAGGUAACGGCUCACCAAGGCAACGAUCGGUAACUGGUUUGAGAGAACGACCAGUCACACUGGGACUGAGACACGGCCCAGACUCCUACGGGAGGCAGCAGUGGGGAAUCUUGGACAAUGGGGGCAACCCUGAUCCAGCGACGCCGCGUGUGUGAAGAAGGCCUGGUU